UAUAUAAAGUGGGAGGAAGAAGGUGGAAAGAGGGGAACAUUUGGAAUGGUGGUGUUUUAAGUCCCUGUUAUAGGUGAUGGUCCCUGCUCUUCUGGAGAUGGCUGAACACCUUCCUGGUCAUGGGAAGUAGUGAAUUAAUGUCUUCUUUUGUUUGGCUUCUCUGUGCAGCUUUUGCUUUCCCUAUCAAACUGUCUUUAUCUCAACCCAUGACUUUUCUAGUUUACUACUCCAAUUCUUUCCUGAUCCUGCUGGGGAGGGAGGGGGUGGCUGUGUGGGGCUUGGCUGCCAGAGGUGGUGAAACCACAGGAGCUCUGUUUGGUGCCCAGUGUGGGGCUGAAGGGUUUGGGAUAACACCAGGUUCAAUUGGGAUGUACUAGACUGAAUUUACAGCUCUUAGUGCUGUUCAGCCAGGCACCAGCAGGCUCCUGUUCCUGCCAUGGGGCUUGAUUACCUGAUUGUGCAUUAGAAUCCACUGCUCAGUAGUGGCCACUUCUUGCAUUUCCUGCCUGCUGUAGUGCUGUACUGCUUAUCACCUCUCUGGGUUGUGCCACGGGGCACUGCUGCUGCCCUGCACAGGCUGGAUGCAGCCAGCAGGGCAGACACUGGUGUGUACAAAUGUGUGCUCAGAGCUGCUCCAGACCUGGUGCUGAAGGCAGGUGAUUGUUCAAACAGCUUGUAUUCCUCUCGUAUGAGUGGAAAUCACAGUGACAGAAUACUUUUGCUGCCAAUGAGUAAAAUUUUGUAACUAACUUCUUUGCUGCAGAAAUUAAAGAGUCCAAAUCUCGACAGGUCAAAAUUUGUUUUAAAAGACAACUUUGGGAUGGAAUUGUUCAUCAGGUAUCAAAGCUUGGGGUUGUUUGCUCCUAGCUGUUUACUUGCUUUCCCCUGGAGGAUUAUCCAGGAGGAUGAAGUGGGUGUAGCUAUCCCCAUGAAUAUCCCUGCUCAGGGACAGCACUGGAAGAUAACCAGCAUAGCUCAGCUAUUUAUAUACCCUGAAAAAUAUUAUUUAGUCAUGUAUUUCCAUUUAACUGUAGAGAAAGCCAUAGCAUUUAACACAUAAAAAGAAUAAUUUUCUCUUAUUGUCCCUAUCUGCAUUUACUGCAUUAUCUUGAUCACAAAGACAACAAUUUCCAAAAUACAACUUUAAAUGUAAAGUAAAUAAUCAUAGCUGCAACAAAAACGUGUCUCCUAGAAGUAGCGAGACAUGUUCAUCUGUCAAAGGCUAUAUUUAAUUACUGAGAAGGAAAUUACAUAAAAGUUAGAGAUACCAAUUAAGAUGAAGACAGGACUGUUUGAGAUUCAAUAUAAGCCUUUACAUCUUUCUGUUCCUUUAAUUUGCAAGAAUUACCAAUCAAGAAACUGUGGACUCACUCUCAGAUUUCAACACUUGAUUAAAUGCUUUCAGUAUAUUCUGAUUUGUUUAUGUUCGCAAAAGUGUGACUGUGACAACAAAUCAUGCAGAACUAUUUCAUGGUUAUCAUGAAAUUCUACAUAUUUUAUGUUUCAGAAUAUAAAUUGAUGAUCAUUAAGUUGAGCUUUUCCUGCUAUGUGGUAUAGAGUGGUAACAAUUGUGCUAUAAAAGAUGCAUUCAGCUCUACAUGGCUUGCAGUAACCUUGCAAAUCCAGUAUAUUUUCAACAGCACCAAAAAAAAAACUGUGAGGAAGCAACAAAAUCAACUCUAUUUUGCUCUCAGAACUUUGAUAAGUCUCAGCUGAAAAGAAAGCCACAGGCUGUUCUUCUCUUUAUUUCCUUUUUUAAAAAGAGAGGGGUAGGAAAUAUUGAUAGCAAACCUGAGUCCAGCAGAGUGUUUGUGUUUCCUUUGGAGUCCCUAGCUUGGUCACAGUCAGAGUGAGCAUUAGGGACAAUGCAGAGCAGUGCUCUCCUGGGUUCUAGCAAUUCCUGUGUUCCUGCAGUUAAUAGCUGCCCCUCAGCCACAGGAGUGCACCUUCUUUGGGACUGGCAGGAUUCAUGAGAAUAACCCCGUGUAGUCAAAUCACGGGGCCAUACAAUGGAGUUACUGUAGGCAAACAAAGAGCCACAGUCAGGCAAAAACAGGGAAAUGGGAAUGCAACCAUGGAAGAGAGGAGAGUAAACAUAAGGGAUGGACUCCUAACACUGUCCACCUUGCCUGCAUUCAAAACCAACAUGCCAAAAUAAUGAAAAUUUGUUUCUCAUUGAUUUUGUUACAAUAGCAAAUAAAAACUCAUCACAAAAGUUCUGGAUAAUAGAUGGUGCCUUUGCAAAUGCUCCCUGCAUGGAGCUUCCCUGAGUUUUGAAAGAGGGUUGGACCAGCCCCCAUUUCAGCACGGCAGGCACCUGCUCAAUAAAUAAAUCAUUCUUCCACUAGCAGUGAGUUUGCUGCCCCUUCUGAGUAAGCGCUGCCAGGCAGGCACGGUGCAGCCAGGGCUGAGGAGUUCCCUGUGCAGAGCUAUCAGCAGAUGGCUCUGCUGGCCAGGCUAUCUCAGCAGCAGCUGCAGCUCUGCCAGGAGCGGGGCUCAGCCCACAGAUACACUCCACUGCCCGACAGCCACAGAAAAAAAGAUGCUCAUGGUGCCUUACUUAUUACUUAAUUGUCAUUUGAACAGACUUUUGAGUUCCAUUAUAGAAUUUUUCUUCGUAGUUGUUACACAUGCAGCACAUGUACAAAGGUAGGAGGCACAGAUGUAACAGCCUAAAAAUGCUAACAAUUAGGUAAGGGAGAGCACAUCCAGAUGGGUCAGGCAGCUAAAGUACACAUUUCCUUUGGAAGUCUGCAAUGCCAAGACAGGCAAAGACUGCCCCUAAUGUAGGCACUACACAUGACAUUGUUACUAACAGAGUCACAAAAGGGAUGUUUACCGUCAGUCAACCACACCUAUAUAAUUUAUAUGUUCACUGACUGCAAACCUCUCCAAGUUAUUUCCUGGAGAGAUCCCAAACACAAAGGGCUGUCCAACUGCCCCAAAAUCAAGAUAUUUGACUUUUUUCAGUAGUAGAAUUAACAUGCAGAAGAUUCCUCAUAAAUGCUCAUAACCCUCCAUUUCCUUUCACCUCAUGAUGGAAACUUCAUUUUUCUCAGAAAUAGGAUCCACUUCUUGAAGUCCAGUGACUCACUUAAGCAAUUGCCUUUGGUAAACUGGGAUGACAAAUGCCUUCCAGUACUAUCAGGGAAAUUAAGAUAAAUCAGCUCUCAACUAGCAGAGGACUGAGCCACCAAGAUGGGACUACAGAUUCCUACUCCCAGCAGGUCUGACCUUCCUGCAGAGUGGGAGUGUCUAAAUUUAGUAGAAACAUUGCUUUAUAGUCAGUAUGGUACCUCAGCUGGCCUUGGUGGGACCAAUUCACAUAUCCCUGCACCUACAUCUCAAUUUUCCUGAUAGCUGGAAGAUUUCCAGCACCCUUGUUGCACCCUUGUACAAGGGAGUAACGACAAUAAUCAUUCUGCAUCCAAACUCAGCAAGAGGCUAGAUAACCCUGGAUGCAGAUUGAUUAUCGUCAUUACUCCCCUGUACAAGGAUGCAAUAAAAAGGAUAAAACAGUAUUUAAAACUGAAUUGAAGACAAAGAGUCCAAAGAAAUCAUAUUAGUACACUUCCAGUAAAGAACCAGCCAGGUACUGAUUUCAAAAGGCAAAUUUCUGUUAUUUGUACCAUGCUUAUACUGCAACCCCAAGGUUGCAAGCCACAUCUCUGGGAAGUCUGAGGAAUCAAAGUUUAGGCAAAAUGCAAGCAGCAUGAUGGUGGAUUGUGUCUGGAAAUAUUACUCUACUUUCACUAAUAGAGACAUUUCAGUAACACAGGCUUAGAAGACUCAGCUUGUGCUUUAGCCAAAAUGACAAUAUUGCUCCAUUUGAAAAGAAGAAGGUUAAUGGCAUUCCCACACAGAACACAUGAAGUAUGAGUGCCCAGCACGUGCUUUAAUAGCAAUCCAUCUACAUUAAGUACCAUUCCCAUUAAUACUGCUCCCCUUGUAAAGGAGCACUGAAAUAAAUGGAAAUCCUUAGUCUGAGUUCAGUGAGCCCUAGAUUGCAAUCUCAGAGCUAUCAUUUUUAUACUGGAGGCAACAUUUCAGCCCUGUAAUGACUCCUCAUAAAUUUAGACAUGGGAGGAACCUCAGCAAUACAAAGAAAGAAAAUUGAUCUGAGAUGUACAGAAGUGCCCCACUGCACUUAAAUGCCAGGUCCAGAUUUCCUCCCCAAGCAGCCAAAAUGUGUGCACUUCCUCAUUUGAUUAAAAUUGUCUUUCAAGCUGCCUCAAGUUCUGAUGAGAAAUGGACUGUGUCACUCUACAAUUACAUGGUGCCUUUCACAGAUUCCUUUUGUUUUUUACUUGAUGUCCCAGCUGCCUUUUUAGUUACACACAUAGACUGAGAAUUUCUGCAUUUUCUCUCUAUUGGGCAGUGAUACAGACUACAUGAAGUGAAUUUCUUCAUCCAAGCCUUCUGUCCACAGAGCUGGUCAGACAUUCACAGCCCUGAACUAACACCUUGGAUGGCUUCAAAUCCUCAAGAAGCUUUGUGAAAUGGGGAAAAAUCUACCAGGAAAAGAACUUUUGUGACAAAUUUUGUCUUUCAGACAAUGAUCACCACAUCAUCCUUCAUGUAGGUGUCAAACUGUAGAACUGAUGUUCUUGUUCCCUAAAUAGGAUGAAAAAGGACGUUGGUGCUUCUGACUUUUCCUCAGUGUCCAUGAGAAGCAGCCCCCGAGGCACCACACCAGCAGUGAAUCUUUCUCUAUGGAGCGACACUUACAGGCCUUAAACUUGCACCAAGCUCCCACUGGAGUCCUGUGGAAGACUGUGUGGUUGCUCACACAUGAAAGGUUGUGCAACAGCACCUUGUGGUGAGACAGUGACUUGUUCUGUGUGUGCACCAUGCCCAGCACAACCAGGUCCUGACACGGGAGCUGUACAGAGACCAGACUGAACGGAACUCCACGAGGUGAGGGUGAAGCGAUGCUGUCGUACGGGCAGUGGCGGCAACCACAGAGGUAACACCAACACCAAGGGGGUGCAGAGAGAACCGGGAUUACCUGCUGGGCCUGCUGCAGCAGCUCCAUCCUCUCGUGCAAGAUCUGGCUGUCAAACUCGCGGCUCUGCCUCAGGAUCUGCCGCCGCACCUUCUCCACCGCCGCCCGCAAAUCCUCCCGCUGCGCUUCCGUCAGCGACUCGCUCGCCCGCCUGCCUGGGUCCUGCUGCAGGGCAUUGUACAGCGUGGCCUCCAGCUCCUGGAUUUUCUAAUGCAACCCAAAUCACACACAGACAGGCUGACGUUUGAAUCCAGCAAGCAAACGACCCACCAAGAGCUAGAGGAGAAGGCUAGCAAGCGGAGGCUGAGGCGGGAGGGCAGGAUGGACACAGACAGAGAGACAGAAAGCAGCAAGCGUGAGCAGUGAGGAGCAUUCCACACAGAGUGCACGCAGCCUCCUGGCACGGAUUGACACCUGGGAGAUGGGUCCUGUUCUAGCAAAUCAUUGGUUCUUCCACUUAAGAAAGAUUCAGAAGAUAGGUCUACAUUCAGUACCUGAUAAAACUCCAAAUCCUGAUGUGAAACAUUACAAAUUUAACUUAAACUAACAAAUUUCCUUCAACUGCAGCUGAAUUGUUAAGCCAUCCUAUAAAAUAAAAAGACCACAGAAAAAAUUGUGAACAGAAAUCUCACUCUACCUCUCUGUUGUCCUAGUGACCUGAUAGCCUUGGUUCAGUCUAUGUCACUGGCUUAGCUCCAAGUUGCCAUAAGCAAUGAAGGAAGGAACGCUUGUAUACACUAAUCCCUCAUCCAUCUCUUGCUGUCUGCAGAUUCCUAACAUGAUUCUCAUGCACUGACCAAAACUGCAGUACUUUGCAAAGCACACAACACAGGAGAACUUCAGAUUCAUGUGGAGAAUUGUACUCCCAAGAGGAAAGGAAGGAAUCCUGGCAGUGUUUCCUUGAUUACUGGGGUUAGCAUGAUCCUAUCAAAACCCAGCAUCCAGACUAACAAUACUUGGAUCAAGAGCAUCUGACCACAUCCCUUUGGCCCUCAUAACACCUUUGCGAGGUCCUGAGCAAUAAUAAAAACAAGGGAGUGUUUGUUCUUCAUCCUAAUUCAUGAAGAAUCAUAAAUGCCAUAAUUUUUAUGCAAGCUUUCCACUUGAAAGCAAAAGAAAACCCAUAGCAAAUGACCACAUUCAUCCUAAGGAUAUCUGGAAUAUCAAAUUUACUAUAUUAGCACCUCAAAUCUAUGUAUCAUAUUAACAAGCUAUACCUAGAGAGCAUUGACCUCUACACCAGUGUACAAACCUGCCUGGACCUGAGAGAAGUGCAGCAAAAGGGAGGAAACCCGAGCAUGCAGGGCCACAGCUGGAUUCUGCAGCACCGUCCCGUGACCUGCCACUGAAGCUGAAGUAACAUCUCGGUCCUCAGCUUCUACAGGCAGGAGAAUUGAAACAGGAUGAAUGCAAUGCUGCUUACUUAUCUACCUGUAAAAGGUGUGGUGAGGAUUAAUCAGUGUUUGGAACACCAUUUGAGGAUCUGAAGCACAGCAUGCAUGGUAAACCAAUAAAGCCAAACACUCCUCCUAAAACUGUUUAACAUAGGGAAAAAUAAGGUGACAAGCUGAAAAUAUUCCUAAGGAAAGCCUCACCAUGGAUAUUUGAGGAUCCUGAACCUUUCAAACCAGUGGAAAUGGAAAAUUCUGAGCAUCUGUCACAGCUACCCUCAAUCAAGUGAAGGGCUAUUUGCAAAAAUUAGAGGCCUAAUUUUUUUUUAAGAGGAAAGGACCACUGACUACUGUGAGCUUUUUCAGUCAUCCACAGAAAGAAAUGAGCCCAAAAGGGACCGUGGGCACCUUACAACUGCUCCCAGAGGACACCAGCACUUCUGGGAAUGGAGUAUCUUGUGUUAAGUGGAUUUUUAGUUCUUUAUGCCAAGGGAGUAUCUCCAAAACAUGUUUUUAUUUUUAAACUGGGUUUCUUUCUUAAGUUUGGCUUUACCUCAAGACAUCACAAUCCCAACAUUCAUGUAAGGAAGAAUACAUGCUCCAAUCCAGAUGACCUGAACAGAAAAGCCAUGCUUCCCUGGCAAUGUUAUGAGGUAUCUUAGAAGACACAGCCAAUUUUUAGCAGAGAAAAAUAUUUACUGAAUUCUACCUUUUCACAGAGGGAAAGCACAGUCACAGCUUGGAUUAUUGCAACCUGCUCUUCAUUUCUCAAAUUCUAAAAUACAAAAAGAUGCAUUUUAAAUUGGAGUAAAAAUUUAUCCUUUAACACGAGCAGUAAGUUUUAACCAUACUUCAAAAAGUAAAUCAAUUAUAACAUUUAGGAUUAUAGACAUGACCAAAAGGAUCCCAUGACUGAAAGCACUGAAAAUUAAACCAAGGGUGCUUAGAAGCACCCAAGUUGCACUCUAUUUCAGCACACCAGCCCCACAACAUUUUUUUCAACAGAUCAUUCAACAAAAAUUAAGUGGUUUCAGUCAGGGAUUUUGCAAUUUUUUGCCUGUUUUUGCCAGUUCACCAGACUAAGCCUUGCAGCAAGUGAAUCUCACCUUCGUGCACUUCAGACUUCCAAUUAAAGAAAACAAUGCAAGGAGUAAGGGCCAUAGAAACCUCCACAGGACUUGCAACAUGCAAAUCUAACAUGCAAAUCUAGAAGUUAAAACUAGUAUUAAAAAGACCUAAAUCUGUUAAAUCUAGCUGUAAACUGGACUCAGCUCCCUGGAUGCUUGUGCCCCAAACAUGUGGCUAAGAUUUAUACUGUAUUUAGCAAUAAAGAGGAAAAAGGGGAGACAGUUUUCCUUGCCUUUCUCCCAGAAAAUCCACUCCUGGCAGUGACAGCCUUCACAGCAGAAGGUGCUACUAUUACUACUCAAGAGGGAUAAUUCACAACUUGGUCUGGCUUUGACUUGUUUUGCAUCUUUUCACUUUGCCUGCUACAGUGCCUGUUUUCUGUAUCAUUUGGUCAAGACCAAAUCCUACCUUAAAAAAAUACUCUUUUCACUACCAUCAUUUUAACUAAAAUUUUGUGUUGUAAAAGCCAUUCCUUAGCAUUUAUGUUCUUCAUACAAACACAGACAUCACCCUGUGCACUGCCUUGGAUGUUAGUAUUUGCUGUGGAAAAAGAAUGUUUUAAAUUAACCAUGAAACUGGAGAUACAUGUAAUAGUAAAAAGUGUUACCCCAUUAUCUCCAAGAAUAUCUAGCUUCUUCAUAAGUUCAGAUAUAUUCACGUCCUGAAAAAGAUGUUUGACACUUAUUUUUUAUGAAGUAGGUCAGAAACAGUUUUUAUAUGAUAUAUUUUAUGUACCCUUUACUCUUUUCUCUGUGUGAAAAGACUUCAAAUAUAAAUAAGUUAAACAUAGCUUUGCAUCACAAUUACAAAAGUAAUUACUGGUACUUUAAGAAAAACCAAAAGUCACUUUGAAUUACAACAAGCAACCUGGAUGUCUGUGCAUGAGGGCAGAAUGUUCCUGUAUGAUUCACACUUAUCCUGCCAAUGUAUGCAUAGGAAAGAUCAAAACUGAUGAACAGGUUUAAAAGAUGUAAAGAGAAAGGGGCUAAAAGACUUUUUUUUUUUGUUUGUAUCAAGUGGAGCAUCAACCACAUCAAGCUACAGAAGUUACAAGGACAGAGAGUAUGAACAAGUAAUUGCUAAGAAAGUAAUUGCUAAGUAUGAACAAGUAAUUGCUCAGAAUUUGCUUGGUUGUUUGCUUUUUGUUUUCUUUGUUAAACAAAACCAUGGAGUUCCAAAUCAGCCUUACAAUGGCAGAAGAGAAUGUGCACAGUGGGCUGAACAUCCUCCUCCAAACAGCUUAUCAGCUCAUAAUCAUCUUUCUGAUUAGAAAGCCACAUUUCUUUGCCACUCAGCUCCCAGAUAAUGAACUUAACAACCAUCCUUAUUAAGGCUCAGUCACUGAAAUAAAGAAAACCACUUCUCUGAUUCAAAAAAGAGAGCAAUAAAUUCAUGGAAUCACAUAAUCAUAGAAUAUGCUGAGCUGGAAGAGAUGCAUCAGGAUCACUCAGUCUAAAUCCUGGCCCUACAUUUCAUCAUCCCCAGGAGUCAUACUAUGUGCCUGAGAGCAUUGUCCAAACACUUCAACUCUGUCAGGUUGGUGCUGUGACCCCUUCCCUGGGGAGCUGUUCCAGUGCCCAAACACCCCCUGGGUGAAGAACCUUUCCCUGAUAAAAUUCACAUGAUGUCUGUAUUUAACACUGUACCAGGAUCUAUUCCUAGGCCCAAAACUCUAUUUAAAGUUUAAAAAGUUGUUGGAAAGGGUCAUGGAACUGUUUAACCAGACAUAAUCACAUUCUCCUGAACCAUCUCAAGUUUGGUCUGGAAUUUAACGUGGCCCAGGGAUCGUUUCCACUGACAGCCUGCGUGCAGCCAUGCUGUUUGAAGGCAGGAAGCCUUGAGAGCAUGGGAAUAGCCCAGUCCAUGGCAGUCCAAAAUGCUUAAUACACGAGCCUUGUUAAAUGCUGCCACCCUCAACUUCUACUCAGCAUGUAGAAAAGGCCAGCACAUCACAUGGCCAUGUGUGGUUUUUGAGUUUUUCUGUCCUGAGAGGUCCCCUCCAUCUCUUCCCAAAAACUUCAGAGGUGUUCCCAAAUGCUACAUGAGCUAUUUAACUAUAUGUGCUCCAGAGCACAUCACUAACUCUAGAAUGGUGCAGAUCCUAAUACACUUGUGUUUGGGUGUAUGUUAAAAACAAAACUAUUGAUUACAAUCAGUAUUGACAAGGCUGAACAGAAACUUCUUCAGUCAAUGAGUUACACUAGUGAAGAAUGGAAAUUAUUUGCCUCUAUUGAGCCAGAAAUAAUCAUUCUAAUAAUUUAUUUCCAUAUGAUGCAUAAAGGAAGAAUCAGAAACCAAAUCAGAUUUUGCAUCAUUCUGGAAUCUACAUUGCUACUGCUGGUUAAUAAUUCUUAAAAGCACUAAGGUAAAAAGGUCAACUAUUUCAGUCUGCCCAUUUUAGGUGACUGCCCCACCUUCCAGGUAAGCAAACUGAAAGGCUGAAAGGCAGAUUGAACAGAAUGCACCUGUUAAAGCAUGUCAUAGAUGACAAUGGAAAAAAGGGAUUAUGGACUGGUACACUGUACCUGCUACAGCCAACAUGCAGAUUAGAAAAACAGGUAAGCUAAAAGUGGGUCUGGCUCUAUUUGUAGGUGGUAUACUAACUGAUGACUCUUGGUGGGCUUUGGGAGAUGAGAAUCCAACCAAAUCUGUAGGUAAGAAGCAGGUUUUAAUUCUUUUCUUUCAGACUACUCAACUUCCUAAAAAUAUGCAGGGGCAAUUUCAGUUUAUUUCCUCUAGAGAUCAUGCUGUGCUCAUUAAAGCACUGAACAGCAACAAGCCUCUUAUAAGAGGACUUGUAAACACAACUAAAAAUUCAACCAUAAAUCAUUAGUGAGUGACACUGAGAUUAUGCUGUAGUUUGUAGAAAAGUUACCCAGCUCUGUUGUGUAACAUUAUUGACAACACAAGUCUGAAUUCAAUCUUAAGUGAACCAGCAUGCACAUCAAGUUGCAGAAAUAGCCUGUUCAUGGGGGAACAGGAGUGAAAAGAGUAAUUCUUGCUUCCUUAUAUCAGAAGGUAAUCAAGGGAGAUCCUGAUGUUUAUCUUGUUCUUGCUCUAAAAGAGUUCCACCUAUCUGAAUGAGUUCUGGGUCAGGCACCUCAUGCUUCAAGGCCCUGGCCUUGGCAAAUAAGCAUAUUCAUUCAACAAAUAAAAGCCUUCACUAAACUGGGUGUAAAAUAAAGACUGAAAGUAGUAUUUCUGAACUCAGAUGAAGACAUUUAAUAUCAUGAACCAUGAACUGUAGCAAGCCUGACAAGGAAUCACAUUAACAUCAAGAUUCUUCCCUAGACUAAAUGUAAAAUAUCUUGAUUGACCAGCCUUCACUUUCACUGAGGAACUCCUGACAUAACCAGAUCAUAUUCUUAUGAAACUGUUUUCCCAGUUAAAAAUAUAUUUUCUUACUGAAUUUUUUCUUUCGCAUUUUCUUCCCUGGUAAGUGUCAAGCCAUUUGUUUGGAUAUUAGACUGGUCAUUCAAGAAAGGUUCCUAGCCAUCCAACUGUUUCUAGUGUUUCUCUGCAUAUACCUUUAUUCCUUCCUGAUGGCAGAACAGUUGAAGUGCACUUCCAUUGUUUUCAGGGAAGGUGGUUAUAUGAAGAUUAAAUGCUGGUGACCUUCGCUCUCUCUCCUGAGGAAAGAUUUGUUUAAAAACAACAUUUGUGAUUAUACAUUAUCAUUUAUUCCCCACCUUUACAAACAUACUUGUACAUUAAAAAGGCAGAUCCCUCUCUCAUUCCAAAUCUGUUCUAUUUCCUCUUACUUUUACUAUAUUUGAAGAAUUUUGGCUAAAUAAAAACAUGGUGUUAGCUGCCAACUGACUCCAUGCACACAGUGUCUGCAAAGCUACCUGACACUCCCCAGCUGCAGAACCCUUGCAACACUGGCCCUAAUUGACUGGAGCCCUGAAAUACUCUGCAGGGUUUUAGGCUGAUUAUAACCUUAUUUAAUUACUGUUUUCCUUCAUGGAACAAUAAAAAAAUUAGAAAGAAAAAUCUGCAGAAAAAAAAUUAAACUCCAUCACGAAAUAGUAAUAUUGAAUAUUUUCUCACUAUAAUUAAACCUGUGUGUCUGGUCCCUGUUUAUUGUACAGUCUACCUUCCUAUCAGGGCGUUUAAAAUCCCCAUUCAUAUUCACUCCAAAAGCCAAGAUGUCAGAAUAUGUUGAAAGGCAGCACUAUUCUACAGUUAUGAUCUUUGUGAUAAAACAAAAAAUUAAAAAUUCUCAUCUAUCUAAAGCUAGACAUUUAGUAUAUCUAAAACUUAACUGGUCCAUGUACAUGAAUUCCAUGCAUUUCUUCAAAAUACCAACCUAUUAUUUCUUCAGAAGGCAGAUAUAACAUAACAAACAAGCAACUUUUAGCUAACAUAAAUUUUAAUGUGCUUGUGAAAAAUGACUGGACUGAAGGCUCUGGGCAACCAAGGCAUUGGGUCUUACUCUGAAUUCUCUGGCCAUGAGAACAUGAGCAAGAAACACCAGAUUUCAUCUCCAUGUUACAAGGGGAUACUUUGGCAACAUGAGCUUCAUUUUCGCAGAGAGACCACUACUACAAACACUUCAGUUCCUAUGACCAUGCACGUAUUAGCCUAUUUCCUAAAUCAAAAACAUGGUGCUUUAAUUGAUAUGGCAGACAGGCUUCAUCCAUUCACUUAAACCCGUUACAAAGCAUGGCAAAUCUUGUUCAUUAGUUAGGUUAAACCUAAUUUGAAACUACAGUGUAGAGAGAAAAAUCUCUGUAGUCUAUGCGAUUUUCCCCCUCUUGAGUUUUUUAAAAAAUAAUAUUUACAUCAACAGUCUAAUUCUGAAAUGGGCUUAAAUAAUGUCUUAGCUGUUGUAAACCAAAACCAUAACUUUAAUUCUUAUCCAAAUUCAGUUAUGAUUUUAGAUAUUGUUAUAAGUUCAUCAGUUGCUAUUGCAUUCAUCUCACCUAAACUUGCUUUAAUUGAUAAAUAAAUGAUUGUGUUUUAUACUUUACCUAAUUUUCAUCUGAAAUAACUGUGCUAAAAAGUACUGUCCUGAUUACCAAAAGCAUUCCAUUGUCACACUGGUGUCUACAUGCUUGUCUACUAAGGAAAAAAUCUUUUCUUGCAAUCACACAAAAAUACUUCAAUUGUUAUUCUGUGAAAGAAUUUUUCCAAGCUUUGGCACAUGACAAAACCUUACAUGACAUACUGAGCUGUUUUUGAUGUGAUUUUUUAAUGUGAAAAAUACGUUCAUGAAGGAUCUAUUGAAGAAUUCCUUCCUUAAGAAAUAUUUUUUGGACAGUUUUACUUCUAAGAACACCCACACUUUAGGAAGCAAUUUCUAGUGCAAUGGCCAAUUGAAGUGCUAAAUUGUUCUCUAUUUUUCUUUACAGUCCUUUCAUAAAAUAUAAAGAUAUGUAUUAGAAACCAUAUCUAUUUUUCUGAACAUCUACUGAAAUUCUAGUAACCUAAAUUCAUAAUUUUGAAUAUAAUGGGCUAUGACAUCAAAACAUAUGGUUGAUAAAGGAUGAAAAAAAGAUUAAGAAAUGUCAGACAAAAAGAAGGUCCACAUAACAGGAAGACAUGACAUUUUCAUCUUUAUCAGAGAAGUUACACAUGCUGAGAUUUUUGGUGAAACGUGCUGGGUGAUAAAAAUGAAGGAGUGACAAUGACAGGUUUGUCAGAGAGUUUAUUCUAGGCAGUGUUAAGAAUGCUGGUGAUCUUUGAAACUGAACAAUGUGUCAUCAGGCAAUACAACCAUGUGACAACUGUGCAUCACACACAGACACUGCAGUGUUACUAAAUUCUGCAUGAGCCCAGUUUGUGAGGGAUGAGAACCAUUGCUUGCAGCUGUAAUCACAGGCUACAUGUUCAGUGCUAAUACAAAUAAUUGUGCUUAUUUCAUUUAUGCAAAGUAUGGAGGUUUUUUUUGGUAUAGGCAACAUACUAGUUUAACACACAGAAGUUAUAUUUCUGGUUUACCAUUUUUCUUUGGCAUUGCCAGAGGUUUGGGGUUUUUUUCAUUUUCAUUGAUUAAAGCCAAUUAUCUCCAUGACCACUUUAAACCAUGAGAAAAUGGAUUUAAGGUAAGAGGAAUUCUUUGGAGUCUGCUAUCAAGAUGUGUUCUUUCUAAGAUAAAUUUACUUCAUAUGAAUGUUGUCAACAGUAAAUCCAUGAAAUUUAAAGCAAUUCUACAUUGAUGUGAUGGACAUGUCAGAUCUUUAGUCAGAUCACUGCAUGCAAGAUGUGAGAAGGUGUGUUAAUUUAAUCAAUGCCAGCCAAGGCUGUUGAAUACAUACCAAGUGAUUUUACAUGCAGGAAAGGAGGAGUUAUGGAAAUGAAACAAAUAAAAAAGGCAAAAUAUUGCAAAACAAAAUAUUUUAUUAGAUGAAAACCAAACUAUAUGCAAUUUAUAUUAGCUAUAUUACAUCUUUAUAAACAUUAGUGAGCAUUCUCUCCAAAACAUAUUAAGGCAGUGGCAUCAAUUUCAUUAUCCCAAGAUACAACAUUUAAAAAAUAGAUACCUAAGUGACUUCCCUUAAACAUGCACCAGACAUCAGUAAUCUUUACAGGAAUUUCAGCUUGGGUUCAAACAUAAUUUCUGCUCCAUUUGAGAGUUUGCAACAGAGAGAAUCUCUUACUUCAAGCUCUAGCACUCUGAAUUCUAACAGCUCAUUCUGGUCUUUUGCAUCUUGCAUCUCAUUCUUCAGCUGAUGUUCUUCUUGUUCCAUUCUGUAAAUCUGUGAGACAAACACAACAUGGUAAUGCCCUGUAAGCACUAGAAAAGAUACUGCACAGAGUUACAAACCAGGGGUUUAGACAAAACUGUUAAUUAUUUCCAUUUUUCAUUACACAUCAGGCUGUGUCAUGUAGAUAAAAAGUUUCAUAUCAGAAAGUAUUUCUGAGAGCUGUCAGCAGAAAAUGGUCAAUGUUCUCUUAGAGUAAUAAUCCGGAAGUAGCAUAAAAGUGAUAUGAAUAUUGUACCUAAAUAAGCUAAGCAGUAUAAGUUUUCUUUUAAAAUACAGCAAAUUAAAAACUGGUUUGCAUUAACAUUUGGGUAGACUGUUCUCAUUGCCUUUGCCUAAUUAGACUUCUAAUUUUUUACAGUACAUGAAAGACGAUAAUGGUGUAGUUUUAAUGACUACUUUUUAAUUUGCCAGAAUUUUGCCUUGGGGUACUAACAAUGACAAAACAGAAAUUCAAUACUGGCUAUUAAUUAUGCCAAUUAAUAGCUUUGGUCUGCUGUCUAGUUUAACUGGGUGAUCUUUUCUUUGUACAAAACUAAAUAGAAGUGUAGCAUCUGUCAUAAUGCACUUUAACAUUUAUAGUGCCCAUUUAAGUGUCCAAGUAAAUUAAACCUGUGUGUAGCUCCUUUUAAUCAUGGUAUUUUAUUUGGUUAUCUUAUUUGUAUUAUAUUAAUAUUAAGCUAAUAAUUAACAAAAUCAGUUCUUUGUCUUCCUGAGCUGACUAGCCAACUUUCCCACCACUAUCAACAAAGAACAAUGCAGAUGCUCAGCUCUGAGUAUCUCAGACAGUUAAUAUAAUAACCCUUAAAUCAAUCAGCAUUACUUAUGUGUGGAAAAGCUAUAAAAAUGUUGAAGGGAGCAGGUAAUUUUGUUAGUCAGGAAAUAAUAAUCUUUGUGUAACUGUGUAUUUUGUUGGACACCAGAAACCUCAGCCAGCUUGGGCUGUUCUGGUGGCUAUCCAUGCUACUCCCAAUAAAAUCAGCGAUUCCUGAAGAAUAUAAAAGGAUGUUGGUACUUUAAUCAGAGACUUUAAGUUUCUGUUUCUGGUGAGAAAUAAAGCAAUUUAAUGCUGAUUUUAUAGUACUUAGUGCUUUCAAUUUCUUCUGCAAUAAAGGGCAGCAAUGGUGAAAAUAUUCCCACAUACCUUCUCUAGCAACUCCUGAUUUGUUCUAAUUAACAGCUGCUUUUCUUCUACCCAUUUUGAAUCCUGUGAGGAAAACACAUAUGUUUUGUUAAAGAAGACAAAUGAAUGCCUACAUUAAUCAGAUUUCAGACAAGUAUAAAAUGGUCACACAGUGAAAAAUAAAGCCAUCAUAAAUGUUUCAAGGCUGUACAGCAUUUUAUACUACAGUGAAAAUAAAAGUUCCUUCCUGUA